UGUUCGUCUGGAGGACCGUCCUUGCUGUAAAGCCUCCAGUGUGUCAAGUUACUUUAAAGCAGAUGACUGAGCAGAGCAAGAAUUUGGAGAAUGAAAACAGAGAACUUGCAGAAAAUAUAUCUGCUUGGGUG